GACGAACGCUGGCGGCGUGCUUAACACAUGCAAGUCGAACGGAAAGGCCCUGCUUUUGUGGGGUGCUCGAGUGGCGAACGGGUGAGUAACACGUGAGUAACCUGCCCUUGACUUUGGGAUAACUUCAGGAAACUGGGGCUAAUACCGGAUAGGAGCUCCUGCUGCAUGGUGGGGGUUGGAAAGUUUCGGCGGUUGGGGAUGGACUCGCGGCUUAUCAGCUUGUUGGUGGGGUAGUGGCUUACCAAGGCUUUGACGGGUAGCCGGCCUGAGAGGGUGACCGGCCACAUUGGUACUGAGAUACGGCGCAGACGCCUACGGGAGGCAGCAGUGGGGAAUAUUGCACAAUGGGCGGAAGCCUGAUGCAGCAACGCCGCGUGCGGGAUGACGGCCUUCGGGUUGUAAACCGCUGUCGCCUGUGACGAAGCGUGAGUGACGGUAAUGGGUAAAGAAGCACCGGCUAACUACGUG
rnacentral:rRNA from 1 species